rnacentral:snoRNA from 1 species
UCCAGCGGCAGUCAGCUCCCCAGACAGAGCCGUCCUACUGUUCUGGUGGCGUCUGGCACUGGUGCAAGGCAGGACUGUGCUUCCUUGAGAGUGUGCUAAGCAUUCACUCUGGCUGCUUAGUUCUAGGCUGGGAGCAGACACA